rnacentral:misc_RNA from 4 species
UUUCCCGGUUGGUUGGAUCCCUGUCUCGGCAGCGACAAUCGCUUGGUCUUACAUGUUCAUUAAGUCAGAGAGUUGUGAAAGAUGCCCUCAGAUGAGAUUGGUGCCCUGCGUAAUAUACCUAUCGUGAUGGAAUAUCGAUGUCCCAUAGUCCCUAAUUCGUCUUGUGCAUUUUAUUUUGUGCAAGACUAACAAUGAAUCUAACAUGGUCUUCCGCCCUUUCAUUUCCUUUUGGUCUUGUAAGUGUCGGGAGUCCAUGUGUUGAGGGAAAUCUUGAAUGCGGAACUGGUAAUCGAUUAUGGACUUGGUCCAUACUUUUCCGAGAUAUAUGUCCGCUACGGAAGUCCGUUGCGCUUUGUGUUGAGUAAUGGAUGCUAAUGUAUCUUUUGCUCAUGCUUAGCCUUCGGCCUGAAGGAAUGC